rnacentral:rRNA from 1 species
UGGGGAAUCUUGCACAAUGGGGGCAACCCUGAUGCAGCGACGCCGCGUGAGCGAUGAAGCCCUUCGGGGCGUAAAGCUCUUUCGACCGGAACGAUAAUGACGGUACCGGGAGAAGAAGCUGCGGCUAACUACGUGCCAGCAGCCGCGGUAAUACGUAGGCAGCAAGCGUUGUCCGGAUUUACUGGGUGUAAAGGGUGCGCAGGCGGAUGGGUAAGUCAGGGGUGAAAGUCUGCAGCUUAACUGUAGAAUUGCCUUUGAUACUGCUCAUCUUGAGUGUGGGAGAGGUGGAUGGAAUUCCAGGUGUAGCAGUGAAAUGCGUAGAUAUCUGGAAGAACACCAGUGGCGAAGGCGGUCAACUGGCCCAUAACUGACGCUCAUGCACGAAAGCGUGGGGAGCAAACA